rnacentral:lncRNA from 1 species
CCCUGCCUCUAAUCCUCUGAAUCCCCUUUCUCUAGGCUGGGCUGGUUUCUUGUGUGGAUGCCAUGUACACCAUCGUGUGGGGUCAGAGCCCUCUGAGAGGAGCCCAGCCUUCCUCCCUCCUCAUUCCCCUGUCUUCAUUCCAGAGAGAAGGGUUGGGGAAUUUCUGAAUAACCGCCCCCAGCUCCUCAAGAGGGCCCUAGUUUCCACACUAUUCUCUAGGUCCUUGUCCACUUCUGGACUCUUCCCUGUGACUCAGGGCCUAGACUCUCUGGGAAUGGAGAGGAGAGGAAUGUGGCACAAGGGAGCUGACUUCGGGGCUAUUUCUGACUCUGGAGUCAUCAGCUGCUCAGUCACAGACGAGGGUGGCAGUGAGGUAGGGGUAUCACAUUUGCCUCCUCUUUUGCUCCCUGGAAGAGCCUGAGGGACCUGGUGGGCUUCAGAGAUGCGGGCACUUGGACCGGUAUGGAGGGAAGUUGGGGAACACCCACAGCUCAUACGGAAGAGGCUUCCUGGGUACCAGGGAUCAAACUCAGGACCUUGUGCUUUCGAGGCAGGCAUCGUCGGCACCACUGAGCUAAAUCCCUGGCCCCUGUUUAUUUAUUUUUUUGAAACAGAGUCUCACUAUGUGGUUCAGCCUGGCCUUGAACUCAUUGUGUAGCCCAGGCUGGCCUCGAAUUCACAGCAGAGGCUAUUUAAAUAAUACCGAAGUAAAAUGAAAUAGUCUGUUCCUCUGUUAUACUACCACAUUUUAGGUGUUCUGUAGAGAUGUGUGGCUAGAAACUACUAUAUUGGACAGUUCAGAUUUCCAUCACUGCAGAAGUUUCUGCAGGAUAAUGCUAUUAUAGACACUAAAACUUUUAUGUACAGUGCUUCUCUUUUUGUCUUUGCUAACAGAAAGCUCCAAGCCAAAUCUCUAGGUUUCCAGCAAAAAGACUUUACGGCUUGCAUCCUAUGGAAUGAGAAUGACUAAAUCAUCUCAGCUGUCUCAGAAGAGUUCCCCAGAACAAGGGACUUUCAGUUUUGUUUUGUUUUGUUUGGUACUGGGAAUUGAACUCAGGGCCUCGAAUUUGCCAGGCAGGUGCUGCACUACUGAGCUAUAUCCUGGGCUCAGACUUUCAGGGGU